UACGGAGGGUGCAAGCGUUAAUCGGAAUUACUGGGCGUAAAGGGUGCGUAGGUUGUCAUAUAAGCUAGCUGUGAAAUACCUGGGCUUAACCUGGGUUGGUCAGAUAGGACUGUAUGACUCGAGUACGGGAGAGGGUAGUGGAAUUUCUGGUGUAGCGGUGAAAUGCGUAGAGAUCAGAAGGAACACCGGUGGCGAAGGCGGCUACCUGGCCUGAUACUGACACUGAGGCACGAAAGCGUGGGGAGCAAAC
rnacentral:rRNA from 1 species